CAGGGCCGCCCAGAGGUUGGCGGGGGCCCGGGGCAAUUUUUUUUUAGGGGCCCCUAUCUAAAAAAAUGUUCCCGGAAAAUUUUUUUUCCGGAGAACAACCUCUGCCCCCCNNNNNNNNNNNNNNNNNNNNCCCCCCCCCCCCCCCCCCCGUCGCCAAAACAUUUUCGGUCAGUGUACCAUUUUAGGGGGUAAAAAUUUUUUUCCGGAGUACAAAAUUUUUCCGGACGAGUACGUUGCAAUUGCUUUCGAGGGCCUUUAUCUCAUUUUUUUAUGCCAAAAUUCGGUACUUAGCCCGAAGAAAACAGAUAUCUUGUCCUUUGCGCGGAAAUAUUUAACACACAAAAAAGGCUGGGGCCCCAACAAAAAUUUUUCAGGGGCCCCCAGCAACUCGGGGCCCGGGGCAAUUUGCCCCCUUUGCCCCCCCCCUCUGGGCGGCCCUGU
rnacentral:lncRNA from 1 species